rnacentral:rRNA from 1 species
UACGUAGGUGACUAGCGUUGUCCGGAUUUACUGGGCGUAAAGAGCGCGCAGGCGGUCGUUCAAGUCGAGUGUGAAAGCCCCCGGCUCAACUGGGGAGGGUCACUCGAUACUGAUCGACUUGAAGGCAGGAGAGGGAAGCGGAAUUCCCGGUGUAGUGGUGAAAUGCGUAGAUAUCGGGAGGAACACCAGUGGCGAAGGCGGCUUCCUGGCCUGUUCUUGACGCUGAGGCGCGAAAGCUAGGGGAGCAAACGGG